AUUGAACGCUGGCGGCAUGCCUUACACAUGCAAGUCGAACGGCAGCACGGGAGCAAUCCUGGUGGCGAGUGGCGAACGGGUGAGUAAUAUAUCGGAACGUGCCCAGUCGUGGGGGUAACGUAGCGAAAGCUACGCUAAUACCGCAUACGAUCUAUGGAUGAAAGCGGGGGGAUCGCAAGACCUCGCGCGAUUGGAGCGGCCGAUAUCAGAUUAGGUAGUUGGUGAGGUAAAGGCUCACCAAGCCGACGAUCUGUAGCUGGUCUGAGAGGACGACCAGCCACACUGGGACUGAGACACGGCCCAGACUCCUACGGGAGGCAGCAGUGGGGAAUUUUGGACAAUGGCGCAAGCCUGAUCCAGCAAUGCCGCGUGCAGGAUGAAGGCCU
rnacentral:rRNA from 1 species